CAGCGGCAACGCCAACAGCAGAGUUAUCAGGCCAGGGGUAGCCACGCAAGCCUGCGUGAACAUUUCCGUGUAAGCACAUCAUGGUAUCAAUCCCAUAUGUUCAAUCGUGCUUGUAGCUGUACAGCCAACAGCCCUCCCAACGGGCAACGUUCUAGCCACCAACACUGCUGCUGGUGACUGCUUGCCCUGCCCUGACUCCACAUACCUGGAACCACCUCAGCACGCAUGUCCGGAACGCCAACCGCUGCUGCAACUCCGGGACUCAUACUCGCCCCGCGUUGAAUUUCCGCAGUGAUCCGCUGCACAUCCGCGGCGCUGGGACCGCCCGCCCCUGCGGCACCCGGCACCGCGGUGCCCGCCGAGAAUCCCACCGCCUGCAUAGCCGCAGCGCCUACAUUUUCCAGCGCGUUUCGCAUUGCUGCACGCAGGCCAACCCGCCCCGGGCUGUCCGGCGCUCCUGCCGCCGACGCAUCCAUGCGUCCGCCUGUGAACUGCCCACACCUCUCCGACGACCUAUGCAACUGAAUUACGCAUACGUUUGCUAAUUACAUGCGACAAAUGCGACGGGACAUUAGAGACAUUAGACGGGCUUGCUUGCAUGGAUAAUUCGGCAAUUCCCCGGAAAUUGCCCAUUUUCCAGCGGCGACCGAGUGAUAUUAUACACAUAU
rnacentral:lncRNA from 1 species